CCUACGGGAGGCUGCAGUGGGGGAUAUUGCACAAUGGGGGAAACCCUGAUGCAGCGACGCCGCGUGAGUGAAGAAGUAUUUCGGUAUGUAAAGCUCUAUCAGCAGGGAAGAAAAUGACAGUACCUGACCAAGAAGCCACGGCUAACUACGUGCCAGCAGCCGCGGGAAUACGUAGGGGGCAAGCGUUAUCCGGUUUGACGGGGUGUAACGGGAGCGUAGACGGUUAUGUAAGUCUGGAGUGAAAGCCCGGGGCCCAACCCCGGGACUGCUUUGGAAACUGUGUGACUGGAGUACAGGAGGGGGAGGUGGAAUUCCAGGUGUAGCGGUGAAAUGCGUAGAUAUCAGGAGGAACACCGGCGGCGAAGGCGGCCGGCUGGACUGAAACUGACGUUGAGGCUCGAAAGCGUGGGGAGCAAACAGGAUUAGAUACCCCGGUAGUC
rnacentral:rRNA from 1 species